GUCAAGUGGUGGUGGUUGUGGUGAAUAUUCUGAUCGAGUUCUGUCAAGCGGUGGUGGUGGUGGUGGUGUUAGCGUCUCAUCAGCUCCGCCGCGAAGAUUCCCAGGCUACCCAACACACCUGCAAAUCGAGGAGGGGCAGGGGCAUAGGUGUUUGCCAAGCUGGUGUGUUUCCACAGCUUCCUCCUCCAUGCUGGGAGACUUUGCCCUCACCCAUAAAGAGUCAGCAGCGGCAGCCUGGACAUUGCCAUCACUGCACAUGAAUGUCUGUCUCCCAGCCUUCCUAGAGCAAGAGUUUACCAGUGAUGACUGGCCCGGAGGUUCAAGCAGCUAUCACACAGAUUCCUGAGAUAUGCUGCUUCCUGCUCAAGGUGUCUGGUUGUAGUGUUGAUGUGUCUGAGCUGCUCCUCCACACUGGACACCAAUGGACCCAGAACCAGACUGCCAAGCCGACACACGCUCUGCACCAUCACUGCCAGGAUUUGAAGAUUGAAGAGCCUUGUACAUGAGAGGCCACACGAACCUGCUGGUUGUUGGUGGCCAGAGUUGGCGAGGGCAAGAUCUCAAUAGGUACUGGCAGCCGGACAUACUGAGGAGACUCUCCCUCAGGACUCUGGUUGGUGGCUUGGAAGCAGGUGACUUGAUGACUCCCAACCUGUGAGGAAGCAAGGAGGGUAACUCGAAGGCAAAGAAAUAGCAAAACGUCCACUAUAGUGCUGCUCACACAAUCAGAGGAAAGCUAAAGUAACUAAGAGAAGGUAAGAUUUGGUUAGAGAAGUAUCUUGUUACUCCCCUCUUGAAAAAGUUCAAGUUGUAGGCAGGAGGAAGCAAAGGAAAGGAAAGCUGUUCCAGAGUUUACCAGCUAAAGGGAUGAAGGUGCUAGUUAGCUCUUGUAUAAGGGAUAUGGAUGGUGUAGUAGCAUGAGCAUGAAAAUAUCAAUAGAAGAUAGAAAGAGAGGCUUAACCCGUUCAGCCCUGCGCAAUUUUGAGCUUUUUUUCACCUCAAUCCUGAGUCCCUAUCAAAUUUCUUUUUAUUGCAUAAAAUAAUUGGAAAUGAUCUAAAACUAAGGGAAAAAAGUAUAACAACACUCAUAUCAGCUAAUUUUUGCCUCUAUGGGGGAUGGUAAUGGAGUGCGCUACAGUGCGUCCUCCCGCCAGGCCGCCAACCUCCCUCAUCUUGUGCGCCACUCUGACACUAUUGUUCUUGCUUUAGUGAUGUUUGUAAGCAGUAUGAUUGUCUCUUUGACUACGUACAUGCACAACUUUAAAAUUUAUAGUAAUAACUAAAUAAUAUGUACUAUUUCUGUGUGUACCACACAUUCACUUUUAUUGUUAUGUCUCUGUUGAUCUGUCACUCAUUAUUGUCUUAGCAAUAAUAUGUAAGAAACACAAACGAAAGAAAGGCAAGUGUGAUGGAGAUAAGGCAGCAGGGUCUGCUGAUCCACCGCCAACAGGACCUCGCCGCUUCUUCCCUCUCCUCUGCCUGUCUCCUUGCGCAUACCCAAGGGCCUCGGCUAUUUCCUCCUCCACAUCAGUGGACACCAUUCCCUCUUCUGUAGUGCGGUGUGAUGACAGUAAUCCCACCAAGCCACUGGUAUCACCAUGUGUGGCUGCCCUUGUCACCAUGGGGAUGAUAGGGGUUUCAACCUCAGCCAGUUCAUCCUGAGUUGGCUUAUACUCAUCCCCAGAUGACUCAGACUCACUGAACUCACAAUCAGAGUCCAGAAGCAUAUUCGGAGCCUCUAGUGCGGAAAGAGUGGAGCGGCCCUUGGGUAUGCACAAGGAGACAGGCAGAGACGACAUAAACAUUACUGACUACUGACAAGGAUUUCGUCACUGCGGCGCCUGGGUAGAGUGGAUGAGUGCUAUUUCUCAUACAUGCACUGAUCGAGUAGAACUUUACAGCAAUAGACUCAUUAAUCGUUCCUCUUGAAUAUGCAAAAGACUCGAAGUUCAUAGAGUGAAUGGUUUGGCUGUGGCGAAGUGAGGAAUAUACACAUAUAUAACUUUUGCCUCACUGCAGCCUGGUGUGCUGAGUUCACUAUGGCUGUGGCUGGGUGUGGCGGGAGUCAGGCGACACACACACACUCUCUCUCUCAAAGAGACAGAAAGAGCUGCCACAUGUCCAAUUUGGAAACCCUUGGCUACCAUACAAGGCGCGUAAGUAAAGGGAGAAGGGUGUCGGAUAUAUACAGCAGUGGGCCCUCGGUGUACAAAUGCACUGUCGGCUAUAGCUGACAGCAGGGCUGUACGGGUUAAGAUGUAAAAGACAGUCAGUGAGAAGAGGGAAGCUAAUUAGCUCUGGCUAGUUUUCCAUAUCAAUGACAUUUUUCAUCUUAUGUUUCAAGCGAAUGAACAAAAGUUUAUCAAAUAUAUAUUUUUACUUUAUGGUACUGUAGCAAAUGUAGUCUUGUAACCAAACUGUAUGGGGAGCUGAGCAAGCUAAUUCUGAUUCAAGGGGUGCUGGGGUGAAAAUAUGCAAGUACAGGGGUGCUGAAAUCAGAAAAGGUUGAGAAUUCUGCCCUGGACACUUAG